ACAACAAAAGCCAGCGCUGCACGAGCAAUGACAGCCCUCGCUGCUGCGUCCCCAGACGUGCUGCUGAACUUCAGCACGGGGGGGAACCGGGCCUUCGUUUUGCUCUGCCAGCCACGGCACCGAGACCACUGCUUUCACAUCCUAAUGUUGAAAUCGGCAGUUGCUUUCCAGGUGGUGUGAGCAGAAGGGCCAGGCAGGAGCAGAACCUCAGCUGCUGUCUCCUUCCUAGAAGCAAUCACUUCAUAUUGGGGUCAAAGUCCACCAGCAGGGAACAGAAGGAAGGCUCCAUUGCAUGGAAAAUUCUUGGCUUCCAGGACCGUCAAGGCAGUGUUGUUAAUGAGGAUUAACAUUCAACCAAAAGGAAGACAAAGAAGUAAUGGGCAGCACUUAUCAGCUGUAAAGAAAUUCCUGCACAGUUUACAAUCUGGGCAAGCAUCCCAGCCCCUGUGUUGUCUCUCACUAGAGUCUCUUCAGAGUAUCAGAGGUUCCCAGGAAUGCUCCCAGAAGCUUUCAGCUCAGCCUGAGUCUCUGCCAAGCUGAUCGGUUCCUCAGAGCUGCCUGGAGCGAUCAUCCUGAAGACUGCAGGGGGAGAGCUUGCAGGCUCCCUGAGAGUCCAAUUUGUACAAGAGUCAGGAUCUGGCCUCCAAAAGCUGUUAUCUGAACCAGGACGUAUUUAUCUCAACCUUGCACGCGCUUAAGGUCUCCCCAGUGAGAUCACAAUACAUGCAUGAUUUCUGUAGUUGAAAUAAAAGCCUUUAUAUUGAAGUU
rnacentral:lncRNA from 7 species